GCUAUAAUGCAGUCGAGCGAGUCCUUCGGGGGCGAUCGGCGGACGGGUGAGUAGCCGGUAGGCUACCUGCCCGUUAACUCGGGAGAAAUGGGGAAACUCUUGCUAAUACCGGAUAGGGUCUUCUCUCGCAUGAGAGGACACGGGAAGGUGGCACAAGCUACCACUUACGGAUGGGCCUGCGGCGCAUUACCUAGUUGGUGGGGUAACGGCCUACCAAGGCGACGAUGCGUAGCCGACCUGAGAGGGUGACCGGCCACACUGGGACUGAAACACGGCCCUGACUCCUACGGGAGGCAGCAGUAGGGAAUUUUCCACAAUGGACGAAAGUCUGAUGGAGCAACGCCGCGUGAACGAUGAAGGUCUUCGGAUUGUAAAGUUCUGUUGUCAAAGACCAACAAUUACCGUUCGAACAGGGCGGUACCUUGACGGUACCUGACGAGAAAGCCACGGCUAACUACGUGCCCUAACCGCGGUAAUACGUACGUGGCAAGCGUUGUCCGGAAUUAUUGGGCGUAAAGCGCGCGCAGGCGGCUAUGUAAGUCUGGUGUUAAAGCCCGGAGGCUCAACCCCGGUUCGCAUCCGAAACUGUGUAUCUUGAAUGGGAAAAGAAAGCGGUAAUCCACAUGUAGCGGUGAAAUGCGUAGAGAUGUGGAGGAACACCAGUGGCGAAAGCCGCUUUCUGGUCUGUAACUGACGCUGAAGCGCGAAAGCGUGGGGAGCAAACCGAUUAGAUACACUGGUAUUCCACGCCGUAAAGAUGACUGCUAAGUGUUGGGGGUUUCUAUACCUCUGUUGCCGCACCUAACGCAUUAAGCCAUCCGCUUGGGGAAUACGCUCGCGAGAAUGAAACUCAAAGAAAUGACUGGAGGCCACUCAAGCGGGUGCACAAUGUGCGUUAAUCAAAGCGAUUCAAAUAAACCUUACCAGGUCUUGAUAUCCGCUGAACGAUCUCAAAAGAUAACGCUUCACAUAUCAGGCUUCACUGUACAGUGAUGCAUGAAUUGUCGUCACUUGUGUCCUGCAAAAUCUGUUAAAUACCGCACUAGCUCAACCCUUA
rnacentral:rRNA from 1 species